rnacentral:rRNA from 1 species
UGGGGAAUAUUCGACAAUGGGCGAAAGCCUGAUCCAGCCAUGCCGCGUGUGUGAAGAAGGUCUUCGGAUUGUAAAGCACUUUAAGUUGGGAGGAAGGGCAGUAAGCGAAUACCUUGCUGUUUUGACGUUACCGACAGAAUAAGCACCGGCUAACUCUGUGCCAGCAGCCGCGGUAAUACAGAGGGUGCAAGCGUUAAUCGGAAUUACUGGGCGUAAAGCGCGCGUAGGUGGUUCGUUAAGUUGAAUGUGAAAGCCCCGGGCUCAACCUGGGAACUGCAUACAAAACUGGCGAGCUAGAGUAGGGCAGAGGGUGGUGGAAUUUCCUGUGUAGCGGAGAAAUGCGUAGAUAUAGGAAGGAACACCAGUGGCGAAGGCGACCACCUGGGCUCAUACUGACACUGAGGUGCGAAAGCGUGGGGAGCAAACAGG